AUACGGAGGGUGCGAGCGUUACUCGGAGUCACUGGGCGUAAAGCGUCCGUAGGCGGUCGGGUAAGUCGGGUGUGAAAGCCCCGGGCUCAACCUGGGAAGUGCACCCGAUACUGCUCGACUCGAGUGCGGGAGAGGAUGGCGGAAUUCCCGGUGUAGCGGUGAAAUGCGUAGAGAUCGGGAGGAACACCAGUGGCGAAGGCGGCCAUCUGGCCCGCAACUGACGCUGAGGGACGAAAGCGUGGGGAGCAAACAGGAUUAGAUACCCUAGUAGUCC
rnacentral:rRNA from 1 species